ACCCACGGAUGCUGCAAGAGCACUGUCCAAAACCAAAAGCCAUACACAUAAAGACAGGCUAACAACAGACUCGGCUACAAAUAAGACACCCUCACAGCAACAACCUCACACGCAGCCGAGCCUGUGCGAGCGCGUCGUGGUGAAAUGGAGGGUCCAACCCGGAUGGGGCGCUUUGAAUGAAGGCGCGCACGGGGCAGGGGAGGCAGAAACGCGGCGCUGCUGCCAAGCGCUACAACGGAGGAAGACAAGCACCGUGACAAACCGCAAGACGGGCAGAAACGUGCGUCGGCUGAUUACACUUAAAAACGUAUCUGCAUAAGGCGGCAACUCCAGAUAAGACGACGGUGUCUAUCUGCAGCGAAAAAUACGGUGGGAAGAAACGGGCGGAUGUAGACAGGAGUUUCCGAUCCCUAAGUAACCGCAAACAGCACAGCUGCUCUCCAAGUCAAAAAAGAGAAAGAAGAAAAAAAGAAAAAGGAAAAAAAAGAAAAAGAAAGAAAAAGAAAAAAUAAAAAGAAGGAAAAAAGAAAGAAAGAAAAGGAAAAGAGGAGGCGGGAUUCGGAGCCUCGCAGCAGCCUGGCAGCCCCCCGCACCACCCCGCCCGCCCCAAGGGCACCUGCCCGGGCAGGGCGCGGAGCAGCGCGGAGCGGCGGCGCCCCACGAAGCGCUUUACGUAACGCGGCGGCGCCGCGGGGCCCGGCCCGGCCCUGCCCCGGGCGCGCAGCGAACACAACUGCUAUUAUUGCAGGAAGCGCCGGCUAAAUGGCCGCUUUUAUGGCCCCCGCUGGGGAGGAUGUUGCCUUUCAGCGUUGUUUUUUGUUUUUUUAAGGGGAAGGAAAAAAAAGAAAGAAAAGCAGCGCUUGCAAACGGCCUGAUUCAGCGGCCCGCGGGCGCACGGCGGCCCCGACCCCCCCCCCCCCCGCGGCCUGCGCGGAGCCCCCCGCACCCACCUGCUCUUCAGGGGCUGGCUCUUGAGCUCAUAGUAGGUCUUGGGCUCCUCGUGGAACUCCUCGCCCACCUCGAAGUCCGCCACGAUCCCCGACUCCGCCUGCAUCGUCGCCGCCGCAAGCUGGGAGAAGGCAGAGGAGCGAGCAGGUUGCCAUUUGAUCUGACAAGAGGCAACGUAAGGCUGUGUCACUGCCUCCAUCUACCCAGAAUGAAUAAUUUACCAGAGGGUUUUUUCCUUAAAGGCAAGAGGCUUUGUUAAAAACAGAAAGAAAGCUGAAGGCCUUGUAACUCCUCCUGACACGCUAAAAGCGAGUCUAUGCCAGCCCCAUGGCCUGUUUGUGGAGGAAGGUACCUGCUUCACCAGUCACAGGCAUUUAUUGAAGACCCGGUUUUGGGGUGCUGAAAUUCCAGUGAAAGACCUCAUAUUGCCUCAAAGAGAAGACGCCCCUUCCCUCAACGUAACUCCAGGGAUGAAUUUGAAUUUUUCUUCAAAUAUAUGCAUGUAAGAAGCUGAAGAUGAGGCAACUGCCCAUCACGUCAACCAGCAAUACGUCUCUGCUUUCUCAUCAGGGAUUGUGCAAGAUGGAGUGGGGCCAAGCCUCUCUGAACAUCACCAGCUUUGAGGACAGCCUAUCUCGCCAUGCCCAGGGGAGCUCGCCGAAAGUACUUCGUCUGCUAGACAGGCUGCCAAGGGACCCAAAUAUUUGAUACCUCCACUCUUCCCAGAGAAAAGAUUUUUAAAGCGGUUGGAUCAUGUUCUGGAGCAAGCUGCAGCCUCGAUAGAGCUGACAUUUGGCUUAUUUUUCCGAGCUUCAGCAGAAGCACUCACAACCACCGUAUGAUUUUCACUAAGUCGAUAUCCGACAGCAUAAAUUCCUCACCGCAUAAAGCAACACCGGUUCUAAAUAAUAAAUGAGGUAGAAAUGUACGGCUGUUUCGGAAAGACUAAGAGACGAAGCAUUAGAACAUCUACGUGAAAUUACCGACUGCCGCUGAGCUCCUGAGAGGAGCCUUACCUUGCAGUCAAUCAGCAAAUCCCGCUUUCUGUAGCAUAACCCCAAGUUCCACCUGGUUAUCUAGCAUCCUUAAAAGGACCUCCCAAAAGAUAUUCUCAGGCCAGUAGCCCAUCUGAUAUUUUCGCCUGAGCUACUUUAGAUGAGCCAGCGUGAGUACUACCAGCAGUCCUGUCCCAGGAGAGCGGCAGACCGUCCCCAGCGGUGAUGCUGGAUAACCCCAGUCCCUUACGACAUCACCUGCAGGGUCACCGUGUCUAACGGAGGGCUUGCUGCCACCCCGUAGCAUUUCCAGGUUCCCUGGGGAAAGGACCAGCUCCAGGCAGAGGCAGCGUGAGCUCCCGACCGGGGCAGCAGGUUGGGUGCAUCGAAAUAUUUUGCCCUCAACUCUUUCUGCCGUGCUGCUGCGAAGCCCUGCUGAAAGGCCAUCGGAUCUGGCCUCUCCUGUAUCCACUGGAGAGGUCACAGGUUUCCUGCUAACAGCCCUUCCCUUCAUAUUGGUGCUCUCCGUCAACACACUCUAUGCCUUGGCCGGCGUAGGAGGGCUCAAGGAAAGACAGGAUUUUCAGGAUAAGGCUCCUAAGUCACCUUAACUUCUAAAGAGCAGAUGUAGCACUCUACAGUUUGAAACUCCCAAGGAGCAAACGCAUGCCACAGAGCAGUGACUGAAUAUGCCUGUUUACCAAGCGGAUGAUUUCUGCAUCAGUUUCUAGAUGGUUUUAAAGCUGUCAGAUGCAGUGUCAAUGGUAUUUAGUCUUAUCACAAGCUUCUUCCCCUAGCUUAAACACUAAAAUAGAGCAGUCUACAUUUGCAGGACAAUGACAGAACUACCCAGAGCAUAAAAUAUUCAUUUGUGGUAAAGAUUUACUAAAUUCCCUCCCAGCCCAGCACACAGAUCUGUGAGACCUCAGCCAUACACCAGUGCAGGGCCUGGCUGAGGGCAGCAAGCCGCUUUCCCUGCGUAAAGCACCUUUCAGGACUGGAGAUUUAGUCUGUACUGCUUGAACGAACAGAUAGUUGCUGGCUCAUAAUGGGUUUUUGGAAGACUAUUUUUCCAUGCACAGUAUUAUUUUGAUCUAUUUAGUAAAUCAGAUUCACCUCUUGUCCUCUCCAGAUUACCAACUCAAACAUCAUACCAGGGAGCACAAAACAGAAGAUAUGCCUCUUUUGCUCAUGUUUUUAACACUCCUUUCCCAGAUCAAGCAGAGAGGGUUUGGUACUUUAUCAAAACAAGCCCAUGCUCCCCUGCAUAAUUCCUGGUGGCUUGAAGUACCACCAGGUUAAAGGUAACUGAUGAGCCUCAUCUUUCACCAAUAUGUGCCAUUAGUUAUAUACCCAACCUUCAUUCUGGAAGAAGGCCAGAGACAGAGCUCAGGUCUUGAGACAGGGAGCAAUUUUUUGAGCUCGGAGAGGCAAAACCAGCUCUGGCACUGCGUUACACCAGCCUGCUGGGGCAGCUAAGUGCGGUCGGGGAAGGUCUUCAGCUCCUCAGCACAGACGCUGGCCGAAUAUGUUCGGACACAUCCAUUCCAAAAUAUAGGAGAACUACAUGAGGGAAAAUAAAUGUAAACUCUAUGCGAGCGUUAUUUGAGAACAGGGGCUUUAAUAUUUAAAGUGUCCCUGGCUGCAGGUGCAACACACUGAAGUUAUCAAUAUUUUAUAUGGUACAUAGUGAGUGGAUGUUGACCCUAAGGCUUAAUUUAGUAACAAGAUUACUCAGAGAAAAAUAAUGUACUGAAAACCUUUAUGUGACGAGGAAAUAUGCCAAAAGUAAACUUGGCCAGUGUGCUUAAUAGAUAAAAAACAUUUGUUUCUUUUUGAGAACUUAAUUAAAUUUCCCAUGAAUUCAUUUGUAAUAACAGUAAUAAGCACCAUAUAUGGAAAUAUUCAGUGAGCUGUUAGCAAGGUAAUUUCCUGAAUUUGGCUUACAUCUUAAUAAUGUCUAAAUCCAGCUAGAUUUUAACAUACAGCUGGUAUGUAUUAUUCCAUUCUGAGUGUAAGGGUGUGCAUGCACUUAUUUUCAAGCCUGGGUGUGUAAAAUGUACAAGUUUGGUGCUGCUGACACUGAGCUUUGCUGCCUGUAGAGUGAUGCUUGAUCAAUUAUAAAAAGCAGUAAGGA